UAGGGAAUCUUCGGCAAUGGGGGCAACCCUGACCGAGCAACGCCGCGUGAGUGAAGAAGGUCUUCGGAUCGUAAAGCUCUGUUGUAAGAGAAGAACGUGUGUGAGAGUGGAAAGUUCACACAGUGACGGUAACUUACCAGAAAGGGACGGCUAACUACGUGCCAGCAGCCCCGGUAAUCCGUAGGUCCCGAGCGUGGUCCGGAUUUAUUGGGCGUAAAGCGAGCGCAGGCGGUUUAAUAAGUCUGAAGUUAAAGGCAGGGGCUUAACCAUGGAGCGCUUUGGAAACUGUUAAACUUGAGUGCAGAAGGGGAGAGUGGAAGUCCAUGUGUAGCGGUGAAAUGCGUAGAUAUAUGGAGGAACACGGGUGGCGAAAGCGGCUCUCUGGUCUGUAACUGACGCUGAGGCUCGAAAGCGUGGGGAGCAAACAGG
rnacentral:rRNA from 1 species